UUAUUACAAAUUUCAAAAUAAAUUUAGACAUGUUGUACUAGUCUACAGAGUACAAAUAUGAGUUCCAACUAUGAACGCCAAACGAAACUAUCACAAUGAAUUUGACAAGAAUUAAUCAUGAGAGGCAAUACUAAUUUUCAAAACGUAUAACGAAAUGAACAAAUUAAAAACAAAAGAGUCUCGCUGAAAGAGUACGGAAUCCGUACCUGGAUUAAGCAAUGUAAUACCCAAAAUUAUAUUCCAAAUGUACUCCUUAAAUUCCCUCCGUUCGAACUAAUUACACAAAUUAACAAAAUAAAUUAAUAAACUAUAUGUUAAAUUAC
rnacentral:lncRNA from 1 species